GGGGUAUAGCUCAGUGGUAGAGCAUUCAACUGCAGAUCGAAAGGUCUCUGGUUCAAACCCAGGUGUCUCCU
rnacentral:tRNA from 1 species